CCUACGGGUGGCAGCAGUGGGGAAUAUUGGGCAAUGGGCGCAAGCCUGACCCAGCAACGCCGCGUGAAGGAAGAAGGCUUUCGGGUUGUAAACUUCUUUUGUCAGGGAAGAGUAGAAGACGGUACCUGACGAAUAAGCCACGGCUAACUACGUGCCAGCAGCCGCGGUAAUACGGAGGUGGCAACCGUUGUCCGGAUUUACUGGGUGUAAAGGGCGUGUAGCCGGGUUGACAAGUCCGAUGUGAAAUCCUGCGGCUUAACCGCAGAACUGCAUUUGAUACUGUUGAUCUUGAGUACUGGAGAGGCAGACGGAAUUCCUAGUGUAGCGGUGAAAUGCGUAGAUAUUAGGAGGAACACCAGUGGCGAAGGCGGUCUGCUGGACCGCAACUGACGGUGAGGGGCGAAAGCGUGGGGAGCAAACAGGAUUAGAUACCCCUGUAGUC
rnacentral:rRNA from 1 species